AAAGAAACAAAAGGACAAGUCCUGAACAAGACGAAGACACAAAACUUAGAAAAGACUGAAAUAAAGAACGAAAUAGAUAUGCAGCAAACUUGGGAAACAAACAAAGAUACCAGAAAUAGAAAAGAAAAACACAACCUAAAUAGAAGACAAACACAUUACACAACGCUUGGUAUGGAGAUUCACUGGGCAAGGCACUGAGGGCUGAGACAAGGGCACGAUGAGAGUGAAUAGAAAGGCAACAACAAAGUGCUUCUCACUUAGGAACAAGAUGAUGUCAUGCGAUUCACCCCAAUGAUGCUUCGUCAGACAAAGAAUAAUUGGAGAGCAUGUGAGAUAGCUCAAGUUUGACGGGGGUAAAGUUUAAGAAUUCAAAAUUAGUUGAAGUGAUGAAAAAAACAAGAGAUAAUAUCAGUAAAAACACCUAUAAAUUACAUAUAUAUUCUUUUAAUAUUUUGAAUUAGAAGUGACGUGCUUAUAUCUUUUAUUUAUUUAUUUAUUUAUA
rnacentral:lncRNA from 1 species